rnacentral:lncRNA from 1 species
UAUAUUUUUACCCUUUAAAAUUUCAAAAAUAUUUUUAGGUAAUUACAGAGUUAAUGAAGAGAACUAAACGAUCAAAUUACCUUUACUUAUUUUAUAAUAACAAAUAUUUUUUAAUAUAUUUAUAUUAUUUUCAAGAGCAUUUUGAGUAUAAAUUAUAAGAAAUUGAUGGAAUAAUUCGGAUAAUUAAUGAUGUAUGCUAAUAUACAUAUAUCAAGAGUAGGGCUAUAUAGUACUAUUACGAGUAUAGAGCCCUUCGUACUCAUAAGUUGUUUUUGAUGAUGGGGCUUCCGAAUCGACGAUCCACUCCGUUAAAUAUGAUCUAGAGUAUUUGAAACUUUUAAAAAAUAAAUUUCGUAAGUUUUCAAAAUCAUAAUAAAGUCAAUCAAGCGGAUAUAAAAUAAACGGUCAAAAUCGAACGACGUCCUAAAAAUGGAUGAUUGGAUCCUUUAAUUUAAGAUCGGAGUUAUUGAUCUUUAUCUAGAUAGUGAAUAGAAUUUUCUAUCAAAAAUUCAACCAAUUCCAAUUCUUUUACGCCGUUAAGCUAGCAAGUAUUACAUACCAGCCGUUAAAAAUUAUCAAUUUUGUGAGCUUUUGAUCGUAAAGUAAAUGAUGUCGAAAAAUUAUGAAAUUUGAUUUUUAGAAGUUUUAAAUGCUCUAGAUAAUGUUUAACGGUAUGGAUUGUCGAUUCGGAAGCUCCAUCAUCGAAAAUAACUUAUGAGUACGAGGGCGAUCGUACUCAUAAGGGUAUAGUAGCCGGACUCCAUAUAUCAAUAUAAACUAAAAUUAACGCAAUUUAAAUACACAAUACAAUUAAAGAUUCUCACAAUACACAAUACAUAAGAGUAUAGUUAUUAGUAUAGUGUCUUUUCAUUUGCAUGAAAUUUCUUCACACAUAUGAUCCUGGAUGAGAUCUCUGAUGCAGAUAUAAAUCGCGAAAAGUGUGUGUGGUAUGCAACGAUUGUAGCGCCUAUCAGCACAAGCUGUGUCUAUUUUGUUAUACUAUGCUGAAAAAAUAUUGAUACGAUACAACUCCUCGCCAAUGGUAUGGCUCAAAUUCUAUUUUCUAUCGAUUUAAUUAGUAGUUAUUUGAAGCAUGAAAGAUUUGAUAAAAAUAAAAUCAAAGCAUGAAAGCUUCCGUCCUUUCUUCCUAAAGCUCUCUCACUGUGAAAAUCUUCUUCAUCAAUUUCAGAUAAAAAAUAUCAUAUCCAAUCAGAUAUCUCCACAUUGUAUAAAA